AGUAAUACGUGAGUAACCUGCCCUUGACUCUGGGAUAAGCCUGGGAAACUGGGUCUAAUACUGGAUACGACAUGUCACCGCAGGGUGGUGUGUGGAAAGGGUUUUACUGGUUUUGGAUGGGCUCACGGCCUAUCAGCUUGUUGGUGGGGUAAUGGCUCACCAAGGCGACGACCGGUAGCCGGCCUGAGAGGGUGACCGGCCACACUGGGACUGAGACACGGCCCAUACUCCUACGGGAGGCAGCAGUGGGGAAUAUUGCACAAUGGGCGGAAGCCUGAUGCACCGACGCCGCGUGAGGGAUGACGGCCUUCGGGUUGUAAACCUCUUUCAUCACGGAAGAAGCGAAAGUGACGGUACGUGCAGAAGAAGCGCCGGCUAACUACGUGCCAGCAGCCGCGGUAAUACGUAGGGCGCAUGCGUUGUCCGGAAUUAUUGGGCGUAAAGAGCUCGUAGGCGGUUUGUCGCGUCUGCUGUGAAAGCCCGGGGCUUAACCCCGGGUGUGCAGUGGGUACGGGCAGACUUGAGUGCAGUAGGGGAGACUGGAAUUCCUGGUGUAGCGGUGAAAUGCGCAGAUAUCAGGAGGAACACCGAUGGCGAAGGCAGGUCUCUGGGCUGUUACUGACGCUGAGGAGCGAAAGCAUGGGGAGCGAACAGGAUUAGAUACCCUGGUAGUCCAUGCCGUAAACGUUGGGCACUAGGUGUGGGGAACAUUCCACGUUUUCCGCGCCGUAGCUAACGCAUUAAGUGCCCCGCCUGGGGAGUACGGCCGCAAGGCUAAAACUCAAAGGAAUUGACGGGGGCCCGCACAAGCGGCGGAGCAUGCGGAUUAAUUCGAUGCAACGCGAAGAACCUUACCAAGGCUUGACAUACACCGGACCGGGCCAGAGAUGGUCUUUCCCCCUUGUGGGGCUGGUGUACAGGUGGUGCAUGGUUGUCGUCAGCUCGUGUCGUGAGAUGUUGGGUUAAGUCCCGCAACGAGCGCAACCCUCGUUCUAUGUUGCCAGCACGUGAUGGUGGGGACUCAUAGGAGACUGCCGGGGUCAACUCGGAGGAAGGUGGGGAUGACGUCAAAUCAUCAUGCCCCUUAUGUCUUGGGCUUCACGCAUGCUACAAUGGCCAGUACAAUGGGUUGCGAUGCCGCGAGGUGGAGCUAAUCCCAAAAAGCUGGUCUCAGUUCGGAUCGUGGUCUGCAACUCGACCACGUGAAGUCGGAGUCGCUA
rnacentral:rRNA from 1 species